rnacentral:rRNA from 1 species
CUGCUAUCGGAUGAUACUAAGCCAUGCGAGUCUUUGUAGUAAUACAAGGCAGACGGCUCAGUAACACGUAGUCAACCUACCCUAUGGACAAGAAUAAUCUCGGGAAACUGGGCAUAAUUCUUGAUAGAUCAUAAUGCCUGGAAUGGUUUAUGGUUAAAAUGAUUCGUCGCCAUAGGAUGGGACUGCGGCCUAUCAGCUUGUUGGUGAGGUAAUGGCCCACCAAGGCGAUUACAGGUACGGGCUCUGAGAGGAGAAGCCCGGAGAUGGGUACUGAGACACGGACCCAGGCCCUAUGGGGCGCAGCAGGCGAGAAAACUUUGCAAUGUGCGAAAGCACGACAAGGUUAGUCCGAGUGAUUUCUGCUAAAGAAAUCUUUUGCCAGUCAUAAAACCACUGGUGAAUAAGGGGUGGGCAAGUUCUGGUGUCAGCCGCCGCGGUAAAACCAGCACCUCAAGUGGUCAGGAUGAUUAUUGGGCCUAAAGCAUCCGUAGCCGGCUUUGUUAGUUUUCGGUUAAAUCCAUGUGCUCAACGCAUGGGCUGCCGAAAAUACUGCAUAGCUAGGGAGUGGGAGAGGUAGACGGUACUCAGUAGGAAGGGGUAAAAUCCUUUGAUCUAUUGAUGACCACCUGUGGCGAAGGCGGUCUACCAGAACACGUUCGACGGUGAGGGAUGAAAGCUGGGGGAGCAAACCGGAUUAGAUACCCGGGUAGUCCCAGCUGUAAACGAUGCAGACUCGAUGAUGCAUUGGCAUAAUAGCCAGUGCAGUGUCGCAGGAAGCCGUUAAGUCUGCCGCCUGGGAAGUACGUACGCAAGUAUGAAACUUAAAGGA